AGGUAGCUUGAAGAGCUGCACGAGGCUGCUGGAGGAACCACUUGGAACAGGUUCACUUUAUCCUCCUCCUCUGUAAGAGAUAGAUUUACUCCACCCAGAGGGGGCUGCGCUUCAGCAAAGAGGAGGACAUUACAAUUACAACCAAAACCCCAACCAACAUCUAAAUACCCUGCAGCAAGACAAACCCUGGAAACAGCCAGAUGAAAAUAGCCCAGAACUUCAUCGAGGGCAGGAUCCUCUCUGCAGCAGCAGACAGAACCAGACGCUUCCAAGGAAUUCCAAGAAAUUUGAGCUAUUAUUAUUAAAUAAUUUGACCACGAACAAAGCUUGCUGUUAACCCCGGACGUCUUCACGCUGUCCAAACCAGACCCAGAUAACUGCCAGCGAAACGUUCGAAAACCAUCUUCAGAAGGAACCCCGUGAAAUUUCACUGCAAAGUUCAGCUCUGUGAUUUAUGUAGUUAUAUUAAGUGGGAAGUUGUGGGUAAUUAGACACCUACAACCACUCAGCGCAAGUUCCCACACUUCAGCUGAGCUGUGUCAAUAGCCUCUAUGCUCACACGGCCGGCCUAAUUGCAGCCCUAACGUAAAACACGGGUUGGUCUUUGCAAGCCUCGGAUAUUUGCAUUAGUCCGAUUCCACAACCAGCUGCAUGCAGCAAAGGCUCCUGCUGCUCCAUGUCCCCCGAAUCAAAACUUGCUGGCAGGCCCUCAGGGAUCACAGCAAAGACUACGCUGAUCUUCAGCAGCUCAGAGAGAAGUUUAGGGGAUGAAGGAGCCUCCCCUGCUGCCUCUGUCCGGCCAGGGAGCUAGGCAAGAGAGACUCAAAUCUGACAGCCUUUCGUCCAGCUGCGUCAUCAGAGAAGCCUGGAAAACGUCUGGCUGGGAGACAAGAAGCUGUCCCCGUGGUGCAGACGGCAGCCCCAGCACCCUCUCCUCGCCCUGGUUCCUCCCAGGCGCAGGCAGAGCCCUUCGGGGUGCAGCUCCAGGUUGCUUCCCCACCCCUCUGCCCCCAGCUCUGGCACUGCAGAGGUUACUGGCUGCUUCUUGCCUGCUCUCUGGGCUAGCUGCAGAUUGCUGUGGUUGCUGCUGUCACGGACUGGCUAUUUCCUGACUGAAGAAAGCCAAGUUCAGGCUGAGCCCACUGAAGCCUCCUGAAGAAAACAGCCCUGUGGAAGAGAAGAGGAACAGCUUCUCUGGGGUUCACACCGAGGGGAAGAAAGGGACCCAGAAGGGCAUUUCACAGAUCCUGGCCCUUUCCUCGCUGUCGCUCUGUGCAGUGUCUACUCAGCCCCAGAGCCUUGCUACGCCACAGGGAGCUGGGCCAGGCAGCUGCACCACGCUUUGCCCAGGCAGGUGCUGGAUGCCCAACUCCAUUCUCCACGGAGGCCAGGCUAUGGAACCCUGGUCAGCCUUUCCCCUUCCACAGCGGUGCUUUGGGUAUUGAUUCUCAAAACAAGAAGCAUCCCCCAGCUGCCCACUGCGGCAUAGCCAGCCGUCUACCCCAACCACAAAGCCUGUCCAAAGAAAGCAGCUUCGUCCGUGCAAGGAAAGGUCCCUCCCAGCACCGACACAAGGGGCUUUGCUUCCAGCUCUGCACCUGCCGGCCUCAUCGCGGGUCAGGCGAGCAGGGAGAAAGGCUCUUCUGUUUCCACACUCACCCCUAUUUCACCCAGAAACGCUGGUGACUCAGAGAGAUUAAUUGGCCUGUGGCAAGCAGUAGUGAGCAAGCCACGUCUGGCAGGCAGUUUGCUCUCCCAGAUCUCUUCCAUUUCACCGUUUUUGUUUUCCAUGGCUGCAGGCUGCACCGAAAGACCUCCUGGACUGAAGACCAUCAGCGUAGAAGGCUGAGCAGAGAGCAGACUGGAAAGAAGGCCUGAUGCAAAGAGGUCCCCUCUGCCUUUUUAUCACCAUUUUGAGAACCAGUAAACUUGGAAGCAGGAGGGGAAGCAGCCACUUCCACCCCAUUUUUACAGCUAUAAAUCCAUGUAACGUAUUAGAAAGGAAUGCCAGCAUUAACGCUCUGUCGACACAAGGACACAAAUUAUAGUACAAAGCCUGAUGUGCA